GACGAACGCUGGCGGCGUGCCUAAUACAUGCAAGUAGAACGCUGAAGGAGGAGCUUGCUCUUCUGGAUGAGUUGCGAACGGGUGAGUAACGCGUAGGUAACCUGCCUGGUAGCGGGGGAUAACUAUUGGAAACGAUAGCUAAUACCGCAUAACAGUAGAUGUUGCAUGACAUUUACUUAAAAGGUGCAAUUGCAUCACUACCAGAUGGACCUGCGUUGUAUUAGCUAGUUGGUGGGGUAACGGCUCACCAAGGCGACGAUACAUAGCCGACCUGAGAGGGUGAUCGGCCACACUGGGACUGAGACACGGCCCAGACUCCUACGGGAGGCAGCAGUAGGGAAUCUUCGGCAAUGGACGGAAGUCUGACCGAGCAACGCCGCGUGAGUGAAGAAGGGUUUCGGAUCGUAAAGCUCUGUUGUAAGAGAAGAACGAGUGUGAGAGUGGAAGGUUCACACUGUGACGGUAUCUUACCAGAAAGGGACGGCUAACUACGUG
rnacentral:rRNA from 1 species